CACCGCGGUUAUACGAGAGGCCCAAGUUGAUAAUCACCGGCGUAAAGAGUGGUUAUGGAAGAAUUACACUAAAGCCGAACACCCUCUAGGCUGUCAUACGCACCUGAGGCUACGAAGCUCUCCCACGAAAGUGGCUUUAUACCUCCCUGAAUCCACGACAGCUAUGAUA
rnacentral:rRNA from 1 species